rnacentral:rRNA from 1 species
AGCAGCCGCGGUAAUUCAAGCUCCAAUAGCGUAUAUUAAAGUUGUUGCAGUUAAAAAGCUCGUAGUUGAAUUUCGGGGUCAGUAGAUUGGUCGUGCCACUGGUAUGUACUGGUCUUACUGGCUCCUCCUUCCUGAUGAACCGUAAUGCCAUUAAUUUGGUGUUGCGGGGAGACUGGACUGUUACUUUAGAAAAAAUUAGAGUGUUUAAAGCAGGCUAACGCUUGAAUACAUUAGCAUGGAAUAAUGAAAUAGGACGUUCGAUCUUAUUUUGUUGGUUUCUAAGAUUGACGUAAUGAUUAAUAGGGAUAGUUGGGGGCAUUAGUAUUCAAUUGUCAGAGGUGAAAUUCUUGGAUUUAUUGAAAGACUAACUACUGCGAAAGCAUUUGCCAAGGAUGUUUUCAUUAAUCAAGAACGAAAGUUAGGGGAUCGAAGACGAUCAGAUACCGUCGUAGUCUUAACCAUAAACUAUGCCGACUAGGGAUCGGAUGAUGUUUAAUUUUUAAUGUACUCAUUCGGCGUA